AUCCCCUUAGUAUAAACAAG
rnacentral:tRNA from 1 species